ensembl:snRNA RNU6ATAC18P RNA, U6atac small nuclear 18, pseudogene
GUGUUGUAUGAAGGGAGAGAAGGUCAGCACUCCCCUCGACAAGGAGCACAGACAGAUUAAGCCAUUGUCACCUACUUAGUGGCACCUAACCAUCAUUUGUU